CCCACCUAGACUACAUGUCCCAGCAUUCCCCGCACCGUCGGUGUUGCCUGGCGACAGGAGCAGACAGUUUGGUUCACGUGGAGAUCUUGGAAAGAAAUGCUUUGCAAAAGCUUGUGAAGUGAAUAUGAAAUAUCUACACUAGAGAUGUGAGCAGUAUUGGGAUCACAAAUUAUGGAGGACGGAGGAAUAGCUUUUGAUGCUUUGGAAAGAUUUUGCAGCAGUCAUGAGCAAACAUUUGCUGAAUUAUUGGAAUCAUUUAUGCACCUCA